UACAGAGGUCUCAAGCGUUGUUCGGAUUCAUUGGGCGUAAAGGGCGCGCAGGCGGCUACGCACGUUCAUUGUGAAAUCGCCCGGCUCAACUGAGCGGGGUCAGCGAAUACGGCGUGGCUGGAGCAAGCUAGGGGGCAAUGGAAUUCCCGGUGUAGUGGUGAAAUGCGUAGAUAUCGGGAGGAACACCUGUGGCGAAAGCGGCGCACUGGACCACAACUGACGCUGAGGCGCGAAAGCUAGGGGAGCGAACAGG
rnacentral:rRNA from 1 species